rnacentral:rRNA from 1 species
UACGUAGGGGCGAGCGUUACCCGGAAUCACUGGGCGUAAAGGGAGCGUAGGUGGCCUGACAUGUCGACUGUGAAAACCCGGAGCUCAACUCCGGACUUGCAGUUGAAACUGCCAGGCUUGAGGACGGUAGAGGAAGACGGAACUGCCAGUGUAGGGGUAAAAUCCUUAGAUAUUGGCAGGAACGCCGGUGACGAAGGUGGUUUUCUGGGCCGGUUCUGACACUGAUGCUCGAAAGCCAGGGGAGCGAACGGGAUUAGAUACCCGGGUAGUCCCUGAGCGGGGCUGG